rnacentral:rRNA from 2 species
AGGCUAAGGAAAGCGCACGGCUGGAAAAGUGCGUCCAAGCAGUAAGUCCGGUAGCGAGUGAAAUGCUUGCCGCCUUAAGGACAAGCUGUGAUGGGGAGCGAAAUUAAAGUAGCGAAGUUCCUGAUGUCACACUGCCAAGAAAAGCUUCUAGUGAGAAAUAAACUACCCGUACCGCAAACCGACACAGGUAGUCGAGGAGAGUAUCCUCAGGUGAGCGAGCGAACUCUCGUUAAGGAACUCGGCAAAAUGACCCCGUAACUUCGGAAGAAGGGGUGCUGACCGCAAGGUCAGCCGCAGUGAAUAGGCCCAAACAACUGUUUAUCAAAAACACAGGUCUCUGCUAAAUCGUAAGAUGAUGUAUAGGGGCUGACGCCUGCCCGGUGCUGGAAGGUUAAGAGGAUGAGUUAGCGCAAGCGAAGCCCAGAAUUGAAGCCCCAGUAAACGGCGGCCGUAACUAUAACGGUCCUAAGGUAGCGAAAUUCCUUGUCGGGUAAGUUCCGACCCGCACGAAAGGCGUAAUGAUUUGGGCACUGUCUCAACGAGAGACUCGGUGAAAUUAUAGUACCCGUGAAGAUGCGGGUUACCCGCGACAGGACGGAAAGACCCCAUGGAGCUUUACUGUAGCUUGAUAUUGAGUGUUGGUACCGCUUGUACAGGAUAGGUAGGAGCCGUAGAGAUCGGAACGCUAGUUUCGAUGGAGGCAUUGGUGGGAUACUACCCUAGCUGUAUGAACACUCUAACCCGCGCCACUGAUCGUGGCGGGAGACAGUGUCAGGUAGGCAGUUUGACUGGGGCGGUCGCCUCCUAAAAUGUAACGGAGGCGCCCAAAGGUUCCCUCAGAAUGGUUGGAAAUCAUUCGCAGAGUGUAAAGGUAGAAGGGAGCUUGACUGCGAGACUGACAAGUCGAGCAGGGACGAAAGUCGGGCUUAGUGAUCCGGUGGUUCCGUAUGGAAGGGCCAUCGCUCAACGGAUAAAAGCUACCCUGGGGAUAACAGGCUUAUCUCCCCCAAGAGUCCACAUCGACGGGGAGGUUUGGCACCUCGAUGUCGGCUCAUCGCAUCCUGGGGCUGUAGUCGGUCCCAAGGGUUGGGCUGUUCGCCCAUUAAAGCGGUACGCGAGCUGGGUUCAGAACGUCGUGAGACAGUUCGGUCCCUAUCCGUCGCGGGCGCAGGAAAUUUGAGAGGAGCUGUCCUUAGUACGAGAGGACCGGGAUGGACGUUCCGCUGGUGUACCAGUUGUGCCGCCAGGCGCAUCGCUGGGUAGCUAUGAACGGAAGGGAUAAACGCUGAAAGCAUCUAAGUGUGAAGCCCCCCUCGAGAUGAGAUUUCCCAUUCCUAUAUGGAAGUAAGACCCCUGAAAGAUGAUCAGGUAGAUAGGCUGGAAGUGGAAGUGCAGCGAUGCAUGGAGCGGACCAGUACUAAUCGGUCGAGGACUUAACCAAG